UGCUAACUGGGCCACUUUACAGAGGCAGAAGC
rnacentral:piRNA from 1 species